CAAUAGCGUAUAUUUAAGUUGUUGCAGUUAAAAAGCUCGUAGUUGGAUUUCGGAUGGGACUUGCCGGUCCGUCGUUUCGAUGUGCACUGGCCAGUCCUAUCUUGUUGUCGGGGACUAGCUCCUGGGCUUCACUGUCCGGGACUAGGAGCUGACGAGGUUACUUUGGGUAAAUUAGAGUGUUCAAAGCAAGCCUACGCUCUGAAUACAUUAGCAUGGAAUAACACGAUAGGACUCUGGCUUAUCUUGUUGGUCUGUGAGACCAGAGUAAUGAUUAAGAGGGACAGUCGGGGGCAUUCGUAUUUCAUUGUCAGAGGUGAAAUUCUUGGAUUUAUGAAAGACGAACUUCUGCGAAAGCAUUUGUCAAGGAUGUUUUCAUUAA
rnacentral:rRNA from 1 species